GAGAUUAACCACAGGUGCCAAAGCUA
rnacentral:piRNA from 1 species